GGGGAAUAUUGCGCAAUGGGGGAAACCCUGACGCAGCGACGCCGCGUGGGUGAUGAAGGCCUUCGGGUCGUAAAGCCCUGUCGGAGGGGAAGAAGGACUCUCGUGCAAAUAGUUCGAGGGUUUGACGGUACCCUUAGAGGAAGCACCGGCUAACUCCGUGCCAGCAGCCGCGGUAAUACGGAGGGUGCAAGCGUUGCUCGGAAUUACUGGGCGUAAAGGGCGUGUAGGCGGUUUCGUAUGUCUGGCGUGAAAGCCCCGGGCUCACCUCGGGAAGUGCGUCGGAAACUGCGAGACUAGAGUCCCGGAGAGGGAGGUGGAAUUCCAGGUGUAGCGGUGAAAUGCGUAGAUAUCUGGAAGAACACCGGUGGCGAAAGCGGCCUCCUGGACGGUGACUGACGCUGAGACGCGAAAGCGUGGGGAGCAAAC
rnacentral:rRNA from 1 species